rnacentral:rRNA from 1 species
GAUGAACGCUGGCGGCGUGCCUAAUACAUGCAAGUCGAGCGAACGGACGAGAAGCUUGCUUCUCUGAUGUUAGCGGCGGACGGGUGAGUAACACGUGGAUAACCUACCUAUAAGACUGGGAUAACUUCGGGAAACCGGAGUUAAUACCGGAUGAUAUUUUGAACCGCAUGGUUCAAAAGUGAAAGACGGUCUUGCUGUCACUUAUAGAUGGAUCCGCGCUGCAUUAGCUAGUUGGUAAGGUAACGGCUUACCAAGGCAACGAUGCAUAGCCGACCUGAGAGGGUGAUCGGCCACACUGGAACUGAGACACGGUCCAGACUCCUACGGGAGGCAGCAGUAGGGAAUCUUCCGCAAUGGGCGAAAGCCUGACGGAGCAACGCCGCGUGAGUGAUGAAGGUCUUCGGAUCGUAAAACUCUGUUAUUAGGGAAGAACAUAUGUGUAAGUAACUGUGCACAUCUUGACGGUACCUAAUCAGAAAGCCACGGCUAACUACGUG